GCAUACGGCCAUACCAGCCUGGGUACGCCCGAUCUCGUCUGAUCUCGGAAGCGAAGCAGGGUCGGGCCUGGUUAGUACUUGGAUGGGAGACCGCCUGGGAAUACCAGGUGCUGUAAGCA
rnacentral:rRNA from 1 species